UACGUAGGGGGCAAGCGUUGUCCGGAAUCAUUGGGCGUAAAGAGCGUGUAGGCGGUCCGGUAAGUCGGCUGUGAAAGUCCAGGGCUCAACCCUGGGAUGCCGGUCGAUACUGCCGGACUAGAGUUCGGAAGAGGCGAGUGGAAUUCCCGGUGUAGCGGUGAAAUGCGCAGAUAUCAGGAGGAACACCCGUGGCGAAAGCGGCUCUCUGGGACGGUACUGACGCUGAGACGCGAAAGCGUGGGGAGCGAACAGG
rnacentral:rRNA from 1 species